CUAAAUUCUGAUUGCAGCCUCAACUCCUAAUUUUGUUUUUAUUUCCCAAUAGUGUUGUAAAUUGCAAAUGAACUUGACGAUUUUUUUUUAAUUGGAUAAAGUGGACGGAACUCUGCCGUAAAUAAUAGGUUAGGACUAGGAGGAGGACAAGGACUAGAUGAGGUGCAGAAAAAUACAAGUUCUUGUCAAAAAAAAAAAAAAAAAGGAUUUUCGGGUAUUUUACUUAUCUCAUGUACAAGAUUGGAAAUGAAAAUGGGAGUGUUCAUGGGGGCUUCUGCAAUCUGAUGGAUGCAUGUUUCUGGACAUUCAUUUCAGGCCCAUUAAUAUUUAUAUGCAAAUUCUGGAACCAAGUGAUGAAUAUAAUUUUUAUGUUAUUAUAUUAUUAGUAGUUACUAGUUAUGUGUUGCAUGGCAUUAUCUAUGAUUAGAUCUGAAUGCACAUGAAAUUGCCAAUUAUGAAUGCUAGCUCUCAAGGGAUCUCAAGAUUUUAGUCCAAAAAUUAAUUUAGCGCUGUUGUUUCUUUACUUGGGUCUUUUGUUGGUGGUAAAUUAUUGAAAUGAAAACCUACAAGUAGAUUGGCUAGUCUAUUAAACACGUAGAAAAGACAGAUUGUUCUAAAAAAGGAGGGCCUAAAUAUGAUUGGUAGGGUCCUCUUCCCACGUUCCUCUCAAAACCAGAUGUUAUUGCUAACAGAUAAUCAUGUUAGUCCAUCGCUAAACCUGACUUCCUGGCUGGUUGAACCACCUGGUUUGCAGAGGCCUUGUAAGUUUGGCUUCUUUGUGGAUAGGUUUUGCCAACAACUGGGUUGAUGAAUUAGACACCUGGGGAAGGAAAGGAUUGGCACACGGGGAGUAUCUAAAACUUCAGGAUCAGUGUUUUGCUCAUGUAUACUCAAAUGCAAUCAUAAUUUGUGUGGUUGAUCCUGAUUUCUGUAUUGCAGCUGUUUAGCUCAAAAUACCUGGUAUCAUUAGUUCAAUUUGGUAGUAAUUCAGGAAUACAUAGUAAUCACUAUGGAAAUCUAGCUGGUAAAAAGUGGUUGUCGAAACUGCACACUAAGGCUUGGAGUACCAAUUUCGUCUCAAAGUGAAAACUUCAAUUCAUCUAGAAUUGGUUAUUGUACUUGCAGUUAUGAACUUACAAUCAUGCAGUAGAAUCUUUACAUCAGCACAAUCCGAAUCUCCUUUCUCUAUUUCUCUUCCAUAAAUAUGUCACUGUCUUCUAUUUCUUUUUCUCCUCAAUUAUUCCCUGAUUAAAAAGGUGUGGCUUUGAUGCCCCAAGAUAACACUUUCAUACUUCUGUCCAUCAGCGAUUCUAGCUUUUCUUUACCCAAUAAGUGAUUCUGGAUCUGGAAUGAAUAAACUAAAGCUUCCAAUUCUAAGCACUUGGGUGAUGGGAGUCAAGUAUGAUGCUUAACUCUAUAUAAGAACUGAAGAUGCGUGAUUUGCACCUGAAAGCAAUGCUAGAGUUGCCUGCUUUGUUGGUGUCUGAUUGCUGACUACGAAUAUCAGGAGUUAAAUAUGGACUUCCUGCACUUUCAAGAAUCUUUUUUUCAGUGCAUAUGAUAUGUAAAGGAAGCAUGCUUCAGCGAAUGGGAGAAUGGAUUGUGAUCCUUAAAGCGUCUCUGGAUAUAGAAGAGCACUAGUGGAAGUGCCAAGCCAAUUUGGUAUGUCAUAUGCAGCACAUAAUAGGUAUCAAGCUCGAGAGCCACAGAGUUGUUGUCCAGUUGGUGGUGCCAUUUGUUCUUUGGCUGGACCUGCUCCUGAUUGCUUUUUGUUUAGGAAUUGACGUCCACAAGGAAAUACUGGUGUGGGAGGAUAGGAUUUAGAUGCUUGACAUCAUUUUUAAAUGCAAGAUGCACUUUCAUACACCAGAUCAUCAUUCUCAUGAUGCUUGUCUUGGUAUUAAUGUUUAUGUCAUGUUUACUCUUGUAAAGAACUGGUUCAUACAAGGUUUUGUCAUCCACUCAUCCUUUACCGCUUCCUUUCUUUUUUGUCCGUCCCCCAAAAUAAAAUGAAAAAAAUGAGAAAUGCAAAGAGAAUGGAUUAUGUGGAAAUGGAAUAGUUCUUUAUUUAAGUGGAGAUCUAUCUCACAACCUUGACUUUUCUUCUCUCUCUCUCUCUCUCUCUCUCUCUGAAAGAGGAGAUCGAUUUGGUCCUACUUCCCAAAAAUCUAGCCGCUGAUGAGAUUGAUUUAAAUCUUGCUCUCGAGUAACCAAUACUAUUUGACCAUGGAGCCUUUAACCUUUGGAUACAUGGUUGAAAUAAGUUUUAGAGUUUAUAAUACUCCUAAAAUAUGAAUAUUAAGUCCUAAUUCACUGGUAACCAAUUUUGCAACUUCUUACCUACCAUUUGGUUUUCUGAACAUCCUUUUUUAGUUUUUUUUUCCCUUUUUUUGUGGGGCUUUUAAUUGAUAUAUAUCAAUCCUUUCCACAGUGUUGACACUGCAUUAAACGCAGAGUUUGCUUUACAAGUUGGAGAAGGAUGCUAUUGUUCACCAAAUGGCAGAACAGAAAUAGAUACAUAAAGCGCACAAGUAUCAGGAAAGACCUCAAGUCCAGAAGCUGAGCCUCUCUUAGGAUAGUUACAGUGCAUACAAGACAACUACUGCAGUGGAAGAGAAUAAUUGCCAACUACUUGUUGAUUGAAGGCAGUGGGACCACCAAACUAUGAAUGAAUAAGUUUUUCAUUCAAUUAUAUGAAGCUUCAUGGCAGGAAAGAAACUGAAGAAAGCAUAAAGUUGACCUGGACUCGAACAUUGUUAUAACUGAAGUCAUGCAGAGCAUUAAUUCACCUACAGUUUAAAGCGUCUUUUGCAAUUCCAAUUUUUGUGGCUGGACUUGAUUCUAUGUCCUGGUAUACUUUACUACAGUCUAUACUUCUUGUCUUACACAUUAAAGCUUUUUGGUCUGACCCUUUUUGGCUUUAGCUUCAUCUUAACACCCUUUUGUCAUCUCCCUUUUCCUUUAACUUCAGCUCUAAUAAUUUUUUAACUUAAACUUUUUGCAGUUCUUUAAAUGCUCGUAUAUAAAUUCUGACUUUGUUUUAGGUUUAUCUAUGGAUUAAGGAAUUAUUACUGUUGUAAGUAUGCAUGUGAUUUACAACAAUGUACGUGAUAGAGUUAAAAAAGUAUGUGCACAAUUACUGCCAAUACAAAUGUGAUGACCACCCAAAUUCAGUAGUUUAGCGUCUCUAAUAUUUCUGGAAAUAUCUGUCAGACCCUUUGGUGAAAUUGCAAAUGAAGCAUGGGGACAACUAUUCAAUCGAAAAUGAAAAAAACCUGCUUAUGAUCAUAGAAAAACUAAGCACUCAAAAUGUUGACAGAACUAGGGGUUUGGCUUCAAUAGAUGAUUCAAUCAGAUACAAUAGUUCUUACUAGGCCUGAUUGUACACCUAAAUAUCUCUUUGUAGACAUGUUGGAUAAGCAUCAUAUUGUAGUGGUGUAAAAUUUUAUAGAUUCCAACAUAUUUGAAGUAUGCAUUUGAAUUCACAAUUUGUGUUCGAGUGUCUUUACCUGUUCUUUAUGUGCUUACCUGAUAGAGAAAAAGGCAUUGAUGUCCAGAAUGGCAAUGCAGAAAGAGAUACUUAAUUUGUGAUGGAUCUGCAAUGGUCUUAAAGCAAAAAGGUAGAGGCAUGUCUGAUGGUAUAUGUGGUACAUGCCAGGUACCAAGGUCUGGAACCACAAAGUUUUCUACAACCGUAAUUGCUUCAGUUGUCUUUUUCCAGAACUUCCUUUUGUUUCUUUUCUUUAUAUCUUAACAAUCACAAAAGCAUAAAGUUCCCAUGUUAUUCAACAUCUUGAUUUUUGGAAACUAACUCUGCCUGACCAGUGGAUAAUACUCUAGACUAGUCUAUUGUCCUCUGAUGAUCUAUUUAUUUGUUUCAGUUUUUAUGUUCCUCAUCUGUUGAAGACAAGUUGAAUUUGGAUCUACUUCAC